CCUACGGGAGGCAGCAGUGGGGAAUAUUGGACAAUGGGGGGAACCCUGAUCCAGCCAUGCCGCGUGUGUGAAGAAGGCCCUCGGGUUGUAAAGCACUUUCAGUGAGGAAGAACGCCUGGUGGUUAAUACCCAUCAGGAAAGACAUCACUCACAGAAGAAGCACCGGCUAACUCCGUGCCAGCAGCCGCGGUAAUACGGAGGGUGCGAGCGUUAAUCGGAAUUACUGGGCGUAAAGCGCGCGCAGGUGGCUUGAUAAGCCGGUUGUGAAAGCCCCGGGCUCAACCUGGGAACGGCAUCCGGAACUGUCAAGCUAGAGUGCAGGAGAGGAAGGUAGAAUUCCCGGUGUAGCGGUGAAAUGCGUAGAGAUCGGGAGGAAUACCAGUGGCGAAGGCGGCCUUCUGGACUGACACUGACACUGAGGUGCGAAAGCGUGGGUAGCAAACAGGAUUAGAUACCCUAGUAGUC
rnacentral:rRNA from 1 species